CUCCCAGGGAUUCCCACCACCCGCACUCCACUCGCAGACUGCGGGCCUUCCUCCGACGCUGGGAGAAGGACCCUGGGAGAGGCAAGGGAAGGGCUCCGGAACCAGCGCAGCAGCGGGACGCUAGCCCGCCCACACGGCGGCCACUUGAAGGUCCUCCAGGGAACACCUGAGGCAGUGGGAGCGUCUGCCCUUUCCUAAGUCUCCUUGGAAAGAAGUAUUCGCUUUCGUUUCCGCAAACAAAGCAUGCUCCGCGCUUUCAGGACCGGUGGCUCCCGUGGAGACCGCAGCGGAACCCAGUCCGCCUUCGCACGCGUCCGGGGGAGAAGCGGCCCCAGGACUAAGGGCGCGCGCCCGAGGAACCGGUGCUGUGACGACCAGAGCAAACACGCCGGAUGUUCCUGUGUAGGCUGUGUAAGGAGUGACCGGAAGUAGAAACUGGGUGCUCCAGUGGCGCAAUCGGUUAGCGCGCGGUACUUAUAUGGCAGUAUGUGUGCGAGUGAUGCCGAGGUUGUGAGUUCGAGCCUCACCUGGAGCAUUGUUUUCCAACCCAAAAUAGCAUUACUUGAAGUGCCUUUCCCCCUGUAAUCCGACUCCAUCGUCUUUAACGUGUUUGGAAUUGUGUACACAGUUUAUUGUUAUUGGUUUCCUUAGCCUUUUUAGAACCAAGCAACGCCAAUUACCAACAAAAUCCGUUGCGCCGCAGUGAGUUAGCUACCUUCUAUCUCCACUUUGUUCUGCACGUCGAUCUCAGGAGAAGCCAGCUCCCAUGUUAAGAAGUUCAAAUACCUAGAGACUGCGAUGGUUUGCAGAGGCUCAAGCUAACCACAUGGAAAGACAUGGAGAGAUAUUCCUUGCCAACCCUCAACUACUCCAACUAUUCUAAGACAUCAAACCUGUCACCCACCGGUCUGAAGAGGAGGAUGAGAGACAAAGAAAAAAGUUGUCUGGCUGCCUCUGCUGUCUACAGAUUGAAGAAGAUCCAUCCAGCUGAGCCCAGCCUAGACCAGCUGACUUCUCCAAUAAGCCUGUAUGAAAUAAAUGCUUAUUGUUAUGUGACCUUGA
rnacentral:lncRNA from 1 species